UUCGAUACAGAAUUUGCAUUUUAUUACUUGUUUUCGUCAUUUUUAAUGGCAACUAGGGAUUAUAAUAAACAGAAUGGCGAAUCGUAGAGCUGGACGAUCGAAACGACGAUUUUCUGGUCGGUCGGUAAGGAGGUAGAAAAAACGCAACCGCAAGUCUUGAUGAUCCGCAGAAACGCAAGGAACUGAACCGUCUCAUGACAAAUACUUAACCACGAUUCAAUUGGUAUAACUAUUAAGAUAACCGCAAAAGGAGAUAAAAGAAACAUGAUAGAAAAUACUUUCACGGUGUUAAUGGAAUUUAUAUAAACGUCGACUACGGUAAUUUUCCAUUUGGAAAAGAAAUUUUCCUAAUUCAUGUAAAUUAAUAAUACUUGUAAAUACUUGGGAGAUCGGUUGGUUUUGUGAAUAAUGUGUUUGAGAUAUUGCACGGAUUAAACGAAUUGUUUCGAGAGAAAGGAAGCAGUUUCUCUGGAAAAAGUAAGGCAAGUGCUAAGUAGGAAAUUAAUUUCCUUCUUCAAUUUUCCCAAUAAUAACAGUUUUCUUUAUUCUUGAAAAAAUGAAUUCUAAAUAAAUUCGAAAUACAUAGGAAUACGCGAAUUUAAAAUAUAAUACCAAUUUUAAACAGGUUUCAUAUAUUUGUAAAAAUUUCUAAUAAAAGAUUCUGCUCUUUUUAUCGGUUAAAAGAGCGAAUUUAAAUUUGAUUUUAGUUCAUAAAUUUUUUUUAACGAAGUACUUUAACAUUUCUGGACAUUCUGAUAUCUUACAUGAUAUCAAGUGAAAACGGAGAAAUUUGUUUUUAUGAAUUUUAAUUUCUGUUAACCAAUUGCAUUUACUAACGCGGAUUUUCGAAGUUUCUAGGCGGAAACUAUGCGCAGCGCAUAGACAACUUAUAAUCAGUGAAUGUAGUCGUCCUUCCAGCUGUGAACUCGGAAAUAUAGAAAAAGUAGUGUGUUACGUUAUGCGUCAUAUGCAUUUGUUAUCUCAAAUCCAUUCGCAUGAUUAACCUCAUCCACUGUUCUCAAAUUCCGAUUUCAACCAUUUAGAUUCGGUUAUAGUUGUAUAAGUAAUUAUAUGAUACUUUAAUGAUAUUUGAAACACUUAUAUUUUUUUUGUGCAUUUAAGGCAAAAAAUGAGAAAAAGAUACAAAAAGAAAAAUAAAACAUAUUUUUAAGAAGAUAAAAUGUGAAAAGUGGCGAGGAUUUUAAAUCGGCACACGUUGGAACAUAGGAUUUACUAAAGUGAUAAUGGAUAAAAUAUGGUGGGAUAAUACCUAGACAUAGAGUGAAAAGAAUUGAUUUCCAAUUUCGGCAACGUUUAAAAUAUAGUGAAGAGAAUAUAAAGGCGACUAAUUAUCCUUAGCGUAUCUAUUAGAUGAGAAAUUUUUGAAGGUUAAAUUUUCCAUUUAUUAUUCAUUCAUAAGUAAGAAGGGUAAUUAAUCAUCCUUGUAAACGCAAGCGAUGAUCUCAGUGCUUUGGAAUGAUCUCAGAAACAUUUAAAAGAAUUUGUUAUUCUAACGAAAAAAUUAUCAUCGUCAUCACCGUCAUUACUGGUAUUGCGUGUGAAAAUAUUUAGAGUGCAACCAUAGUUAACGAACUAUGAACACUCACGAAACGGAUGAUUUCUAAUAAAUACCUACGCUGACUGAACUUCCACGAUAAAUCUUUCUCUCGAAUUUUCCAAACAGAUUUCGCCGUUCGUCUUUUCAAUUUGCGAUUUAAUCACUACUUAAUGUGUUUUUCUUUAAACACAUUAAUUUGAUUUACUUUAUUUACUCUUCUUAAUUAUAAUACCGAGGCAUAAAUUGUUUUUUGUUAAUUAACUCAUAACUAGUUUCUGUUUCAAAUAAUUUAAAAUUACAAAUUUCUCUAUUUCGAAUAAUUUGAUAUUAAAUCAAUUUUAUUUUCAGCAAUUUAUGAAAUACAUUAGAUUCAUUUUCAGAUUCAUAUUCUUCUUUUUCUAAUUGGUAUGCACUCCUACCAAUAUAUACUUAUGAUUUUGUCAAUUACGGGUAAAAUUGAAUUCCGCAUUCUAUUAUAUUUCAAACGCAAACCAAUAUUUGUUGCAUUUAACAAUCAAUUUAAAUAAUACAGUUUUGUGAAUAACAAUACGGCUUUCGAUUGUGCAUUGGCUGUUACACUAGCGUGAAGCUAUUCAAUUUAUCUAUAGAAAAGAUAUCAUAUUCAACAUGGUAAUCAAGAAAUUAAAAUCAAAGAGAAAAUUGAGAAUUGAAAUGUGAUAAUAAAAAUCUUUUUCAACGUUCAAAUAUUACUCCAUUGUUUAUUACAUAAUCUUCUACACAAUUGCAUUACUAUCACUAAAGGCAGAUAAUAAGUCGUCUGAUGGAAGAAUAGUUUUAUUAAAUAAAGGCUUAUUCAAUUUACUCUAUAAUCAUAGAGAGUUCCAAGUUCUGCUUUGCUUAACAAUGCUACAAUAUUGCAGAAGCGUCGUUGCAAUUAUCCGAAAAGUGGGGAAACACUCUUUGUGUUCUUAUUGUUCCAAGCGUCUUCGUUAGCAAUAACAAACUGGUUAUAUUCCGUUUCGACAGAACUAUUUGUCAAACGCAAACUGAAAACAUCGUAUAGAACAAGCAGCUACGAUGAAACUUCCCAACUUCACUGUACCGAAGCCAUCGAUUUUCAUUCAAAAUUGAAGAGUACAUAAAUUCUCAGAUGAAUGAACAUAUUAGUAACCUUAAGGACCAUAAAUGAUAUAUAGUAUAGUUCUAGCUUCAAAAUUGGAACCACAGAUCUCAUAUUGAAGCAACAUACUUUUAGUAAAUAUCACAAAAAAUAUUAAUAUAGAUUGAAGAAAACAAAAAUAUAACAAAAUUCAAUUCAA